UACGGGGGGGGCAAGCGUUGUUCGGAAUUACUGGGCGUAAAGGGCUCGUAGGCGGCCAACUAAGUCCGACGUGAAAUCCCCAGGCUUAACCUGGGAACUGCGUCUGAUACUGGAAGGCUUGAGUGCGGGAGAGGGAUGUGGAAUUCCAGGUGUAGCGGUGAAAUGCGUAGAUAUCUGGAGGAACACCGGUGGCGAAGGCGGCAUCCUGGACCGGCAUUGACGCUGAGGCGCGAAAGCUAGGGGAGCAAACGGGG
rnacentral:rRNA from 1 species